rnacentral:rRNA from 1 species
ACGGCGAGUGAGCGGGAAGAGCUCAAAUUUAAAAUCUGGCUUGCUUGCAAGUCCGAGUUGUAGUCUGAAGAAACGUUUUCCAUGAAAGCUGAGGCACAAGUCCUUUGGAACAGGGCAUCAUAGAGGGUGAGAAUCCCGUCCAUGGUCUCAUGCAUUUCAUUUUGUGAUACGUUUUCUAAGAGUCAGGUUGUUUGGGAAUGCAGCCUAAAAUGGGUGGUAAAUUUCAUCUAAAGCUAAAUAUUGGCGAGAGACCGAUAGCGAACAAGUACCGUGAGGGAAAGAUGAAAAGAACUUUGAAAAGAGAGUUAAAAAGUACGUGAAAUUGUUGAAAGGGAACCGUUUGAAGCCAGUCUUGCUUACUUGUGAUCAAUCUUAGCUUCGGCUUGGAUGCACUCUCGAGUUAUGCAGGUCAACGUCAGUUUGAGAGGUGGGAAAAAAGUUUGAGGAAUGUGGCCUUCGGGUGUUAUAGCCUCUUACUAAAUACCAUCUCCUGGACUGAGGCUCGCAGCAAAAAUGUGGGUUGGUUUGCUCCUGAGGUGAAUCAUUAUUAAGACAGCUUGCUGACUUAGUUUUGUGGAUCUUCACGGUAGACCAGCUUCUAAUUUGCUUAGGUCGUUGACAUAAUGGCUUUAAAUGACCCGU